ensembl:lncRNA
UUAAGCUGUCCUUUUAAUAAUAGAAAACAGUUGUCCUCAAAAUGGGAUAAUUUUAAAUAUAAAAAAAAUAACACACCACAGGGAACUGAAAAGAAAAAACAAAUUUAAUGAUGUAUUCAAGGCCAUCCAAACCACCCACCCACAUAUUAAGUGUUUGCUGGCUACACAGACACUAUAGUUGCCAUGGUUAAACCAAAGAUCUUCUUCGGAAAAGUAAACCCCUUGGUUGAAAAAAAAUAAAGCAAAAUAAAAUAUUGCAUGCGGUGAAUAAUCAAACUGUUAGGGCAACAUCCUGCUCCCUCUGAAAUCAGCAGGCUCUUUUCUGCAGGAUUGGUGCUAAAUUUUCAGCUGCCUGAUGCACCAAAAAAUAGGGGGGCUGCAGCACGGAGAUGGGAGCUGCCUGGUGGAGGAGAGAGGAGACUGAAGCUGGGGGUGGCAGGGUGACUGCCCUGGUGAAUUAAACAUGGAAUUUAGUGGUACAGAUAACAUUGCUUUAUUUUCUUAUACAGAUGUAGCUCUGAAGAGCUGGCUGUCAUUUGAACAAUGGGCUUGAAAGGAGUGAAGCAAACUGCCUCCAGCAUAGUGUGGCAGAAGCCAAUGGCAAAGCUGCUGUAGAGAGACACAGCCUGAAUGAAACGCUGAUUGAUAUGCAGUCCAUGUGUCAUAAUAUGUGGCCAAGCCUGCUGGUACCUCAGAAUUACAAACACCAAGAGGCUGAAAAUUUCAACUGGCAGAAGAAAGAACCUAGCAGGGAACCAGGAAGGGAGGGACCUCUCCUGCUGACUGCAGAGCCUCCUGCCUGCAUCCCUGCUACUGGAAGGAUGGAUGGACAGUGAGCCAAGAGCAAGUAUUGGAGCUGAAAUCCUUUUGUAACUCUGUAAGAGGACAGUGUUUCAAAGUAAGACCUAGAAAGCAUGCUUGUUUGCGGAAGAUGUCCUCACAACCUUCAUGGUACAUACCAAGAACUUCAAAAAUUGACAUAAAAUGAAGUGAAAAGGAAAAACGAUACUUUUCUAUACCUUCCACAGAAAGGAAAAAGAGAACAUUGACUUGAUCUUUAUUUCUUAGUUUACGUUUAAGACUAAACUGCAUAUUUUGGUCAAUACCUGGAAAAAGGCAAGUUAGAGGAUUAUCUCUUGUAAAUCCAUCUAUCGUUUGUUUGUGUCUAAUGCUUUCUACUAGAAGUGAGAACAAAACAAAACAAAAUAAAUUACACAUUUUGAG